GAGGCCAUUGCUAUUGGAGUCCGAUUUAGCCAUGCUAGUUGUACGAGUUUACACUCGUAGCAGAUAGCUCAGUAACACGUGGCCAAACUACCCUCUGGAGCGCAAUAACCUCGGGAAACUGAGGCUAAUGGCGCAUACCGCUCGACGCCUGGAACUGGCUCGAGCUCGAAACGCUCCGGCGCCAGAGGAUGUGGCUGCGGCCGAUUAGGUAGACGGUGGGGUAACGGCCCACCGUGCCAAUAAUCGGUACGGGUUGUGAGAGCAAGAGCCCGGAGACGGUAUCUGAGACAAGAUACCGGGCCCUACGGGGCGCAGCAGGCGCGAAACCUUUACACUGCACGCCAGUGCGAUAAGGGGACUCCAAGUGCGAGGGCAUAACGUCCUCGCUUUUCGUGACCGUAAGGUGGUCACAGAAUAAGGGCUGGGCAAGACCGGUGCCAGCCGCCGCGGUAAUACCGGCAGCCCAAGUGAUGGCCGCUCUUAUUGGGCCUAAAGCGUCCGUAGCUGGCCGCGCAAGUCCAUCGGGAAAUCCGCACGCCUAACGUGCGGGCGUCCGGUGGAAACUGCGUGGCUUGGGACCGGAAGAUCCAGAGGGUACGUCUGGGGUAGGAGUGAAAUCCUGUAAUCCUGGACGGACCACCGGUGGCGAAAGCGCUCUGGAAGGACGGAUCCGACGGUGAGGGACGAAAGCUCGGGUCACGAACCGGAUUAGAUACCCGGGUAGUCCGAGCUGUAAACGAUGUCUGCUAGGUGUGCCACAGGCUACGAGCCUGUGGUGUGCCGUAGGGAAGCCGUGAAGCAGACCGCCUGGGAAGUACGUCCGCAAGGAUGAAACUUAAAGGAAUUGGCGGGGGAGCAC
rnacentral:rRNA from 1 species